GAGAUUGCCUGCAAGGACUGGCGCUCCCGUCCUUACAGAGCGAGGCUGCAAGCAAACCGGGCACAGGAAUGAAAGGGAGGCAGGAAAAAAAUAUCCUCGGCAACAGUUUAAGUCCAGCAGGUCGGCAAAAAGUUGUCAAGAGUCUGAGGAAGAGGGUGUGAAUCCCUUAAGGCUGCUAUUGUCAUUGAACUCUCCGUGGUGUGAAACCACAGCCUGAGGUGCUGAGAUCCUACCAAGAGGAACCGAUUGCCAGCUUUUUUAUUGGAGCUCUUUCCAGUCUGGACCUCAGACAUACUGGGGGAUAAAGGGAUGAAGAAAAGGAUAUGAUAAAUAUCUUGACUCCAGGAAGUGGUGUUCUAAGGACAUUAGUCACUUCGGAUAAAGUUGCCAAAGAAGGCAAUUCCAGCAUGUAAAGAAGGAGAGGGUCCAAGUGUUUGUGUUCCUGGGUGUGAAGAUGAUGGUCUAAACCUCUGUCUGGUCAGUUUGUCCCCAUGAGCUGAACCUGGCGUGGUGGUGCCUGCAGCUGCUGGAGUGGAGAGCGAGGUGAAAAUCCGCAGGAGAGCUGUACCGUGGGUGCUCCUCAGCCAUAACCUCCAGCCGCGCCCUCGUUUCCCUUUGACAGAGGGAGGAGGCUGGCGCAAGAGCUGUUUCAUCAGCCCCUGGCUGCAAUCAGAUUGUACAUGUAGCGGGUUGGUAUCCCUUCAAUGGCUACACAGAACGAUUACACCAGAUUAUCCAGUGCACAGCCUGCUCUUUCACUCACCUCCACAGGUUUUACUCCAUAGUUGUCAGGCAGGCAGGACAUUUUGGUAUGAAACACCACACAAACCCAGCUGAGCCGAGCAAACUAUAACCAUAGCAUAAGCUGCCAUGGAAAAAAAAAAGCCAUGUUGUUCACUGGUUUUGUUUUGUCUUGCUCUCCACUGAGUGAUAUAUCUUAAUGACAAGUUGCUGUAUCCACACAGCAAUUCUUUUAAUACCAUAAAGUGUCGUGGGGUGUAGACAUGUCCUAGGACAAUGGCUAGAACUAAUGUUAAAGGCUAAAUGUAUUGCAGCUGCAUACAAGCCAGGCUAAAUUAAAGACUAGAGCUCUGGAAGUUUCUUGUUAAAAAAAAAAAAGUUUUUUUGUGCAGAAUAAUU